UAGGGCGCAAGCGUUGUCCGGAAUUAUUGGGCGUAAAGAGCUCGUAGGCGGCUUGUUGCGUCGGAUGUGAAAGCCCGGGGCUUAACCCCGGGUCUGCAUUCGAUACGGGCAGGCUAGAGUUCGGUAGGGGAGAUCGGAAUUCCUGGUGUAGCGGUGAAAUGCGCAGAUAUCAGGAGGAACACCGGUGGCGAAGGCGGAUCUCUGGGCCGAUACUGACGCUGAGGAGCGAAAGCGUGGGGAGCGAACAGG
rnacentral:rRNA from 1 species